rnacentral:rRNA from 1 species
CAGCCGCCACGGUAAAACGUAGGUGGCGAGCGUUGUCCGGAACUAUUGGGCGUAAAGGGAGCGCAGGCGGGCGAGUAAGUCUUUCUUAAAAGUGCGGGGCUCAACCCCGUGAGGGGAGAGAAACUACUCAUCUUGAGUGCAGGAGAGGAAAGCGGAAUUCCUAGUGUAGCGGUGAAAUGCGUAGAUAUUGGGAGGAACACCGGCGGCGAAGGCGGCUUACUGGACGACAACUGACGUUGAGGCUCGAAGGCGUGGGUAGCAAACAGGAUUAGAUACCCGAGUAGUCCCUGUCUCUUAUACA